CAAACAAUCCAGCAUUAUAAAGGAAUUUCGCUACACGAGCGAGUCGUGAGUUAAUUACCCAAACACAAUCAGUGUGUUUCUCAUAUUUUGCGAGCGUGCACACACACAUUAAUAAGUUCAAGUGAUUAACUCUCUUAUAGUAGCAUGAUAACAUGUUAGUGUGACAACGAAAUAGUGUUGUGACGUGAAAGUGACGGAACAAACUAAUGUUAAACUGUACCAGAGUAUAAUAAAUUAAAUCGUGUUUAAACGCGACAAACGAUGUAUAAACAAUUAACAGACGAACGUUUCGGCCUUUAAUUCGAACCCUCUUCGACGUUGACACGAAUGAAAGCGACUGGAAAUAUUUACACGCUGAGAGCGAUGCGUGAGAGAAUAUUUGGAUAUGUAAGGCCGCAAUCGUUAAGGAAACAUGUACUCGAAAUAAGAGAAACCGAAGACUGUUGGAGUUUAGCGAGAAUAAUGAGAUACAUACCAUUAUACAUACAAAAACGAUAUCAUCACUUUUGUCUUCCAAAUUUAUGGAUUUGCAAGAAACUCUAUCCAAUAUUUCAAGAUUGACAACCUCGCUUCAAUGUAAUCUACACUGAGAGAAAAAUGUAUGAUAUUUGGCGCACAUCAAGAUUGCUGACGUUGUAUUAUGGAAUGCAGGAUGCAAACUAAUUAGAUCUUCUGGACAGAGAGAGAGAGAGAGAGAGAGAGAGAGAGAGAGAGAGAGAGACCAGAUAUUAUAUAUAUUUCGAAUGCAAUACCAAUAAUGAGAUACAUACCAUUAUACAUACAAAAACGAUAUCAUCACUUUUGUCUUCCAAAUUUAUGGAUUUGCAAGAAACUCUAUCCAAUAUUUCAAGAUUGACAACCUCGCUUCAAUGUAAUCUACACUGAGAGAAAAAUGUAUGAUAUUUGGAACUAUAAUAGCAUAGUAAAAAGAUUAUAGUUAGA